ACAAAUCUGCAUAGUUAACUUGAUAAUUAGACCCCUAAAAAAAUUGAUACGACAGCCGAUCAUUGCUCAUCGUGUUGUUGCUCCUCCUGUUGUUGUCGCCCGCUCCACCGAUCGCUGACGUUGUGGGUCCUCCUUGCUUGUUUCUUCAAUUUGCGUCUUCUGUUUGUGUUCUCGAUCCUUUUGUGCGGUGUUCUUCCUCGAUCAGAAGGUUCUCUAUCUGGCUUCCAAAAGGAAACUUGAAGAAAGGAAAUGAUGAAGACGCCCCCAAUCGAUAAAGCAAUGACCCAACUUCCUGACAAACUAGAGAAAGAUGCCCAGCAGAUGGAUUUAUUUAUGGCUUUGAGUUACAUUAUGUAACUUCACAUGUCAAAAAGUAUCUUCUUCAGGAGGCCGCAGAGAAAAACGACACCACAAGAAGGCGUGGGAUGAGGGAUUACUAAGAGGAGGAUGAAGGUGGUUGCCGACGGCGACGGCGGAAGUGUGAUCGGCCAUCACAGGCGACAUUGCCGCAGGCGGAGGGGCACCGACAGCAUCGGUUCCCCCACUUCUUCGACAUCAUAGUUCUCCGUUUCUUUACCUUUUUUAAAAAAUAUAUAUAUACUUUUUCAGCUAAUAACCUUUUUAAGCUUAAAUGGGUUUAUCUUUAAACCCACCAAAACCCACAUCUAGUUGGGCUUUGACAAUGUGAACCCACUCUAACCUGUUUUUAAAUUUUCAAACAACCCAUAUAUUACCUAGUCCAUUGAA